GACGAACGCUGGCGGCGUGCCUAACACAUGCAAGUCGAACGAGGUCCAUGGAGUGGCAACACUCCGGAAGACCUAGUGGCGAACGGGUGAGUAACACGUGAGGAACUUGCCCCGGAGACCGGGAUAAGCUCCCGAAAGGGGGUCUAAUACCGGAUGUCCUCACCGAGUCGCAUGGCUUGGUGAGGAAAUGGAUUCCGCUCCGGGAGAGCCUCGCGGCCUAUCAGCUUGUUGGUGGGGUAACGGCCCACCAAGGCAUCGACGGGUAGCUGGUCUGAGAGGACGAUCAGCCACACUGGGACUGAGACACGGCCCAGACUCCUACGGGAGGCAGCAGUGGGGAAUCUUGCGCAAUGGGCGAAAGCCUGACGCAGCAACGCCGCGUGCGGGAUGAAGGCCCUCGGGUUGUAAACCGCUUUCAGUGGGGACGAACCAAGACGGUACCCACAGAAGAAGGUCCGGCCAACUACGUGCCAGCAGCCGCCGUAAAAC
rnacentral:rRNA from 1 species